CAGGGAGACAACAAAAUGUUUAAUAUUAUUAUUUUGUCACCUUAGGUCGAUCGGUACCUCACAUCCUUAACUUUUUAAGGAUUUCUAUUCCUAAGUUUUUCUAGGUCACACCCAUUACUUUUCCUGGGCCAUUAGCUCAGGUGGUUAGAGCGCACCCCUGAUAAGGGUGAGGUCCCUGGUUCAAGUCCAGGAUGGCCCAUAUCUCUAUGUUGGGGGUAUAGCUCAGUUGGUAGAGCGCCUGCUUUGCAAGCAGGAUGUCAGCGGUUCGAGUCCGCUUACCUCCACUGAUACCACCUCUUCCAUAUUCUAUGGGAAGGGAAUGUUUUGAGUUGUGAUCAAAUUCUGAACGAAUCUAGCUUCCUAAUGUUCAAUUAAGAUGCUGGAUUCAUUGAAUUAAUUUCAUUGUUUUCAGAGAACCUUGACAACUGCAUAGAUUAUUUUUAAAGACAAUAAGCAUCUUUUAAAGAUGCAGAUUUUUAUUUGUGCGAAUGCAUUAAUAACAAUUCUAUUAAGCUGAUGCUUCAA
rnacentral:tRNA from 1 species